rnacentral:tRNA from 1 species
GCCCAUGCGCUCAGUGGUUAGAGCAUUGAGCUGUGAACCAAAGGGUCUCGGGUUUGAUUCCUGGUCAAGGGCA